rnacentral:sRNA from 1 species
GGACACGGAUGGCCAGACUCGGUGGCGC